CGGCGAGUGAAGCGGGAAGAGCUCAAAUUUGAAAUCUUAAAGGGUUUCCCUUUACGAAUUGUAGUUUAAAGAAGUGUUUUCUGUUGAGGUUUUGGUAAAAGUUCUUUGGAAUAGGACAUCAUAGAGGGUGAGAAUCCCGUAUUUGACCUUUACUUUCAACUUUGUGAUACACUUUCAAAGAGUCGGAUUGUUUGGGAAUGCAGUCCAAAAUGGGUGGUAAAUUUCAUCUAAAGCUAAAUAUUGGCGAGAGACCGAUAGCGAACAAGUACCGUGAGGGAAAGAUGAAAAGAACUUUGAAAAGAGAGUUAAACAGUACGUGAAAUUGUCAAAAGGGAAGCGUUUGACACCAGUGUUGUUUUUCUGAAAAUCAAUUAAAGAACUGUUUAUGCUAAGUUGUUUAGACUUUAUCAGCUAACUGUUUAGUUUUGAGCUUUUCUUUAAUGCACUUUUCAGUUAACAAGUCAACAUCAAUUUCUUUUGCUGUAAAAAAGCUUGAGGAAGGUGGCUUGAGAUUCGUCUUAAGUGUUUAUAGCCUCUUGCCUAUGCAGUCGGAGAGAUUGAGGUCUGCAGCGUAGAUCCUUCGGGGCUAAAUGCAUUUGUGCUAAGUUAUAGCAUUUUAUAGACAACUUGUUGACUAUGAUUUGUCUUGUAGCUUACUCGCUUAUGUUAUUUUACCUACGCUUAGGAUGUUGACAAAAUGGUUUUAAACGACCCGUCU
rnacentral:rRNA from 1 species